CCAAUAGCGUAUAUUAAAGUUGUUGUGGUUAAAAAGCUCGUAGUUGAACCUUGGGCCUGGCUGGCCGGUCCGCCUCACCGCGUGUACUGGUCCGGCCGGGCCUUUCCCUCUGUGGAACCUCAUGCCCUUCACUGGGUGUGACGGGGAAGCAGGACUUUUACUGUGAAAAAAUUAGAGUGCUCCAAGCAGGCCUAUGCUCGAAUACAUUAGCAUGGAAUAAUAAAAUAGGACGUGCGGUUCUAUUUUGUUGGUUUCUAGGACCGCCGUAAUGAUUAAUAGGGACAGCCGGGGGCAUCAGUAUUCAAUUGUCAGAGGUGAAAUUCUUGGAUUUAUUGAAGACUAACUACUGCGAAAGCAUUUGCCAAGGAUGUUUUCAUUAAUCAGGAACGAAAGUUAGGGGAUCGAAGACGAUCAGAUACCGUCGUAGUCUUAACCAUAAACUAUGCCGACUAGGGAUCGGACGAUGUUAUUUUUUGACUCGUUCGGCACCUUACG
rnacentral:misc_RNA from 1 species